CCUACGGGAGGCAGCAGUGGGGAAUAUUGGGCAAUGGAGGAAACUCUGACCCAGCAAUGCCGCGUGAAUGAAGAAGGUCUUCGGAUUGUAAAGUUCUUUUGUCAGGGAACAAAGGCGGGGACGUGUCCCCGGAUGAGUGUACCUGAAGAAAAAGCAUCGGCUAACUCCGUGCCAGCAGCCGCGGUAAUACGGAGGAUGCGAGCGUUAUCCGGAUUUAUUGGGUUUAAAGGGUGCGCAGGCGGUCUGUUAAGUCAGCGGUCAAAGCCCGGGGCUCAACCCCGGCCCGCCGUUGAAACUGGCAGUCUCGAGUUGGAGAGAAGUAUGCGGAAUGCGCGGUGUAGCGGUGAAAUGCAUAGAUAUCGCGCAGAACUCCGAUUGCGAAGGCAGCAUGCCGGCUCCACACUGACGCUGAGGCACGAAAGCGUGGGUAUCGAACAGGAUUAGAUACCCCUGUAGUC
rnacentral:rRNA from 1 species